rnacentral:rRNA from 1 species
UACGUAGGGAGCAAGCGUUGUCCGGAAUCAUUGGGCGUAAAGCGCGCGUAGGUGGCCUCAUAAGUCCGCUGUGAAAGUCCAAGGCUCAACCUUUGAAUGCCGGUGGAUACUGUGGGGCUAGAGUACGGAAGAGGCGAGUGGAAUUCCUGGUGUAGCGGUGAAAUGCGCAGAUAUCAGGAGGAACACCAAUAGCGAAGGCAGCUCGCUGGGACGUUACUGACGCUGAGGCGCGAAAGCGUGGGGAGCGAACAGG